rnacentral:rRNA from 1 species
AGAGUUUGAUCAUGGCUCAGAUUGAACGCUGGCGGAAUGCUUUACACAUGCAAGUCGAACGGCAGCACGGGGGCAACCCUGGUGGCGAGUGGCGAACGGGUGAGUAAUACAUCGGAACGUGCCCAGUCGUGGGGGAUAACGUAGCGAAAGCUACGCUAAUACCGCAUACGAACUGAGGUUGAAAGCGGGGGAUCGCAAGACCUCGCGCGAUUGGAGCGGCCGAUGGCAGAUUAGGUAGUUGGUGGGGUAAAGGCCUACCAAGCCGACGAUCUGUAGCUGGUCUGAGAGGACGACCAGCCACACUGGGACUGAGACACGGCCCAGACUCCUACGGGAGGCAGCAGUGGGGAAUUUUGGACAAUGGGCGCAAGCCUGAUCCAGCCAUUCCGCGUGCAGGAUGAAGGCCCUCGGGUUGUAAACUGCUUUUGUACGGAACGAAAAGGCUCUCUCUAAUACAGGGGGCUGAUGACGGUACCGUAAGAAUAAGCACCGGCUAACUACGUGCCAGCAGCCGCGGUAAUACGUAGGGUGCGAGCGUUAAUCGGAAUUACUGGGCGUAAAGCGUGCGCAGGCGGUUGUGUAAGACAGAUGUGAAAUCCCCGGGCUUAACCUGGGAACUGCAUUUGUGACUGCACAGCUGGAGUGCGGCAGAGGGGGAUGGAAUUCCGCGUAGCAGUGAAAUGCGUAGAUAUGCGGAGGAACACCGAUGGCGAAGGCAAUCCCCUGGGCCUGCACUGACGCUCAUGCACGAAAGCGUGGGGAGCAAACAGGAUUAGAUACCCUAGUAGUCC